GACAAGAUGGCCGAGUUAGUUAAGGCGCUAGACUCGAGCGAAAGCUUGCCAGUAUUACACUGGCCGAGUGUUCUAGUGGAUUUCAUCCGCGGGAGAUCGAAUCUCCCUCUUGUCA